UUACGGUCAUAUCAUUUUCAAACAGCAGUUCUCUGUACGAUCAGCGAGGUUAAGCAACGUCGAGCCUAGUCAGUACCUAGGUGGAUGCCCACUUGGGAAUACCAGGUGCUGUAAG